rnacentral:rRNA from 1 species
CUGGCUCAGGAUGAACGCUGGCGGCGUGCCUAAUACAUGCAAGUCGAGCGAAUGGAUUAAGAGCUUGCUCUUAUGAAGUUAGCGGCGGACGGGUGAGUAACACGUGGGUAACCUGCCCAUAAGACUGGGAUAACUCCGGGAAACCGGGGCUAAUACCGGAUAAUAUUUUGAACCGCAUGGUUCGAAAUUGAAAGGCGGCUUCGGCUGUCACUUAUGGAUGGACCCGCGUCGCAUUAGCUAGUUGGUGAGGUAACGGCUCACCAAGGCAACGAUGCGUAGCCGACCUGAGAGGGUGAUCGGCCACACUGGGACUGAGACACGGCCCAGACUCCUACGGGAGGCAGCAGUAGGGAAUCUUCCGCAAUGGACGAAAGUCUGACGGAGCAACGCCGCGUGAGUGAUGAAGGCUUUCGGGUCGUAAAACUCUGUUGUUAGGGAAGAACAAGUGCUAGUUGAAUAAGCUGGCACCUUGACGGUACCUAACCAGAAAGCCACGGCUAACUACGUGCCAGCAGCCGCGGUAAUACGUAGGUGGCAAGCGUUAUCCGGAAUUAUUGGGCGUAAAGCGCGCGCAGGUGGUUUCUUAAGUCUGAUGUGAAAGCCCACGGCUCAACCGUGGAGGGUCAUUGGAAACUGGGAGACUUGAGUGCAGAAGAGGAAAGUGGAAUUCCAUGUGUAGCGGUGAAAUGCGUAGAGAUAUGGAGGAACACCAGUGGCGAAGGCGACUUUCUGGUCUGUAACUGACACUGAGGCGCGAAAGCGUGGGGAGCAAACAGGAUUAAAUACCCUGGUAGUCCACGCCGUAAACGGAUGAGUGUUAAGUGUUGGAGGGUUUCCGCCCCUUUAGUGCUGAAGUUAACCCAUUAAGCACUCCGCCUGGGGGAGUACGGCCGCAAGGCUGAAACUCAAAGGAAUUGACGGGGGCCCGCACAAGCGGUGGACCAUGUGGUUUAAUUGGAAGCAACGCGAAGAACCUUACCAGGUCUUGACAUCCUCUGACAACCCUAGAGAUAGGGCUUUUCCUUCGGGAGCAGAGUGACAGGUGGUGCAUGGUUGUCGUCAGCUCGUGUCGUGAGAUGUUGGGUUAAGUCCCGCAACGAGCGCAACCCUUGAUCUUAGUUGCCAUCAUUAAGUUGGGCACUUUAAGGUGACUGCCGGUGACAAACCGGAGGAAGGUGGGGAUGACGUCAAAUCAUCAUGCCCCUUAUGACCUGGGCUACCCACGUGUUCCAAUGGACGGUACAAAGAGCUGCAAGACCGCGAGGUGGAGUUAAUUUCAUAAAACCGUUUUCAGUUCGGAUUGUAGGCUGCAACUCGCCUCCAUGAAGCUGGAAUCGUUAGUAAUCGCGGAUCACCAUGCCGCGGUGAAUACGUUCCCGGGCCUUGUCCACACCGCCCGUCACACCACGAGAGUUUGUAACACCCGAAGUCGGUGGGGUAACCUU